rnacentral:miRNA from 1 species
GAAGGGUGUGCAGAAGAAUGUGA